GGUGUUGCUGUUGUGUUUUGAUCUUGCUGUUGUGUUAUUGGUGUUGCUGUUGUGUAUUGAUCUUGCUGUUGUGUUAUUGGUGUUGCUGUUGUGUUUUGAUCUUGCUGUUGUGUUAUUGUAUGUUGCUGUUGUGUUAUUGGUGUUGCUGUUGUGUUAUUGAUCUUGCUGUUGUGUUAUUGGUGUUGCUGGUGUUGGCUGUUGUGUUAUUGAUCUUGCUGUUGUGUUAUUGGUGUUGCUGUUGUGUUAUUGGUCUUGCUGUUGUGUUAUUGUCUUGCUGUUGUGUUUUGAUCUUGCUGUUGUGUUAUU
ensembl:lncRNA